AGUGGGGAAUCUUCCGCAAUGGACGAAAGUCUGACGGAGCAACGCCGCGUGAGUGAAGAAGGUCUUCGGAUUGUAAAGCUCUGUUUUUUGGGAAGAAGGGCAUAUGUGUGAACAAUGCAUAUGAUUGACGGUACCAAAAGAGGAAGCCCCGGCUAACUACGUGCCAGCAGCCGCGGUAAUACGUAGGGGGCAAGCGUUGUCCGGAUUUAUUGGGCGUAAAGAGCGCGCAGGCGGCUAUUUAAGUCUACCGUGAAAGCUUACGGCUCAACCGUAACGGGUCGGUGGAUACUGGAUAGCUUGAGGGCAGGAGAGGAAAGUGGAAUUCCCAGUGUAGCGGUGAAAUGCGUAGAGAUUGGGAGGAACACCAGUGGCGAAGGCGACUUUCUGGACUGUUACCGACGCUGAGGCGCGAAAGCUGGGGGAGUGAACGGGAUUAGAUACCCCGGUAAUCCCAGCCGUAAACGAUGGGUACUAGGUGUAGGAGGUAUCGACCCCUUCUGUGCCGGAGUUAACGCAAUAAGUACCCCGCCUGGGGAGUACGGUCGCAAGACUG
rnacentral:rRNA from 1 species